rnacentral:tRNA from 1 species
GCGCCAGUGGUCCAGUGGUAGGACAGUGGCUUCCCAAGCCACUAGCCCGGGUUCGAUUCUCGGCUGGCGCA